rnacentral:rRNA from 1 species
ACGUAGGCACCAAGCGUUGUCCGGAUUUAUUGGGCGUAAAGAGCUCGUAGGCGGUUCAGUAAGUCGGGUGUGAAAACUCUGGGCUUAACCCAGAGCCGCCACCCGAUACUGCUGUGACUUGAGUCCGGUAGGGGGGUGGGGAAUUCCUAGUGUAGCGGUGAAAUGCGCAGAUAUUAGGAGGAACACCGGUGGCGAAGGCGCCACUCUGGGCCGGUACUGACGCUGAGGAGCGAAAGCGUGGGUAGCAAACAGGA